ensembl:lncRNA
AUUUGAAACACAUGGCCUUCAAGCUUACUGUGGUCGGGUGAGAGAAGACAGAAGGCUUAUGAAGGAUGCUUAUAAGAUCCAGACAUAAACGAGGACUGAGUGAAGUCAGGAAUUACUGGAAAGGAGGUCAGGAACCAAGGAGGACUUCCCUGAUGGCUCAGCAGUACAGAACCCACCUGCCAAUGCAGAAGACACAGGCCCUGGCAACCACCAUUCUCCUUUCGGGUUUGUAAGGAUCUGACUGCUUUGGACACAUCAUUUGAUGGUGUUCGUCCUCAUGGGAAGCGGGGCUUCUCAAACCCAAAGCUGUUGACAUUUUACACAGGAUCAUUCUUGGUUUCAGGAGCUGUCCUGGGCUUUGGGGCAAUAUUUAGCAGCAUUCCUGGCCCCUACCAGGAAACACCAGCAGCACUUCUGCUUCUAGUUGUGACCAUCAAAACUGUCUCCAGAUAUUGCCAGAUUGUCCCCAAGGGGGCAAUUGAGGACCACUGUGCUAUUAUAACC